GGUUAGCUCAGUUGGUAGAGCGCUCCAUCGGAAAUAGAGGGGUUCCUGGUUCGAUUCCAGGGCCA
rnacentral:tRNA from 2 species